UAGGGAAUAUUGGUCAAUGGGCGCAAGCCUGAACCAGCCAUGCCGCGUGCAGGAUUAAGGCCCUAUGGGUCGUAAACUGCUUUUGUACGGGAAGAAACCCUCCGACGUGUCGGAGGUUGACGGUACCGUGAGAAUAAGGAUCGGCUAACUUCGUGCCAGCAGCCGCGGUAAUACGAAGGAUCCAAGCGUUGUCCGGAUUUACUGGGUUUAAAGGGAGCGUAGGUGGACUAUUAAGUCAGUGGUGAAAGCUUGCAGCUUAACUGUAAAAUUGCCAUUGAAACUGAUAGUCUCGAAUAUGGUUGAGGUGGUUGGAAUGUUGCAUGUAGCGGUGAAAUGCUUAGAUAUGCAACAGAACACCGAUUGCGAAGGCAGAUCACUAAACCAUUAUUGACACUGAGGCUCGAAAGCGUGGGGAUCAAACAGGAUUAGAUACCCCCGUAGUCC
rnacentral:rRNA from 1 species